AGCGUAGGCGGAUAUUUAAGUGGGAUGUGAAAUACCCGAGCUUAACUUGGGAGCUGCAUUCCAAACUGGAUAUCUAGAGUGCAGGAGAGGAGAAUGGAAUUCCUAGUGUAGCGGUGAAAUGCGUAGAGAUUAGGAAGAACACCAGUGGCGAAGGCGAUUCUCUGGACUGUAACUGACGCUGAGGCUCGAAAGCGUGGGGAGCAAACA
rnacentral:rRNA from 1 species